CUUAAGCGUUGCCCCUCUUCCUUUCAGAACGCUCUGCUAGGGCUUAACUCCGAUCUUGGCCAAGAUUUCUCGAGCUCAGUUUUUCUUUUUUGCUCCAUUUUCUAAGAUUAUUCCUCGAGUUGUUGCACUCCGUAGUUGGUGUCGAAGUCUCGUAUAAGCCCUUUCCAGAUGUGAGAACUACUGGCAGUGAUAAUGAUGAUAGGAAUGCUACAACUUGAUGGAUUGGACGGGUAUUGGGCCCACUAUGGGGCCAUCGCUAAAGGAUUUAUUAGUUAUGAUUUUCUUGUUUGUACAAGACCUAGUACAAUUAGUUCACUAGUAUACUUUGUUUUAGACCGUGUGA